CGGUACGUACUGGCAUUGUUGGUUUCUCCCUUCUGACGAACCAUGAUGUCAUUUAUUUGGUGUUGUGGGGAAUCAGGACUGUUACUUUGAAAAAAUUAGAGUGUUUAAAGCAGGCUCACGCUUGAAUACAUUAGCAUGGAAUAAUGAAAUAGGACGUUUGAUUUUAUUUUGUUGGUUUCUAGGAUCGACGUAAUGAUUAAUAGGGAUAGUUGGGGGCAUUAGUAUUCAAUUGUCAGAGGUGAAAUUCUUGGAUUUAUUGAAGACUAACUACUGCGAAAGCAUUUGCCAAGGAUGUUUUCAUUAAUCAAGAACGAAAGUUAGGGGAUCGAAGACGAUCAGAUACCGUCGUAGUCUUAACCAUAAACUAUGCCGACUAGGGAUCGGAUGAUGUUAAUUUUUUAAUGACUCAUUCGGCGCCUUACG
rnacentral:rRNA from 1 species